CCAGACUCCUACGGGAGGCAGCAGUGGGGAAUAUUGCACAAUGGGGGAAACCCUGAUGCAGCAACGCCGCGUGAGUGAAGAAGUAUUUCGAUAUGUAAAGCUCUAUCAGCAGGGAAGAAGAUGACGGUACCUGAUUAAGAAGCCCCGGCUAACUACGUGCCAGCAGCCGCGGUAAUACGUAGGGGGCAAGCGUUAUCCGGAUUUACUGGGUGUAAAGGGAGCGUAGACGGCCAUGCAAGUCUGAUGUGAAAACCCGGGGCUCAACCCCGGGACUGCAUUGGAAACUGUGCGGCUGGAGUGUCGGAGAGGCAAGUGGAAUUCCUAGUGUAGCGGUGAAAUGCGUAGAUAUUAGGAGGAACACCAGUGGCGAAGGCGGCUUGCUGGACGACGACUGACGUUGAGGCUCGAAAGCGUGGGGAGCAAACAGGAUUAGAUACCCUCGUAU
rnacentral:rRNA from 1 species